AAGUCGUAACAAGGUUUCCGUAGGUGAACCUGCGGAAGGAUCAUUAUUGAAUAUUCUCGAUGGGUUGUAGCUGGCUGCGGAAGGAUCAUUAUUGAAUAUUCUCGAUGGGUUGUAGCUGGCUCCUCGGAGCAUGUGCACGCCUGUCUUGACUCUAUUCAUCCACCUGUGCACCUAUUGUAGUCUCAUUUGAGAGUAGUCGGUCGGCAAGACCGGAUGUGAGGGAUGCAGCGCGAAAGUGCGGCACCUCUCUGGCUCUCGGUGGACUAUGUCUUUAUUCAUAAACCAUGUAGUAUGUUGCAGAAUGUAUUCAAUGGGCCUUUGUGCCUAUAAAAACCUUAUACAACUUUCAGCAACGGAUCUCUUGGCUCUC
rnacentral:misc_RNA from 1 species